AAGUACCCCGAGGAAAAGAAAUCAACCGAGAUUCCCCCAGUAGCGGCGAGCGAACGGGGAGCAGCCCAGAGUCUGAAUCAGCUUGUGUGUUAGUGGAACGGUCUGGAAAGUCCGACGGUACAGGGUGAUAGUCCCGUACACCAAAAUGCACAGGCUGUGAACUCGAAGAGUAGGGCGGGACACGUGGUAUCCUGUCUGAAUAUGGGGGGACCAUCCUCCAAGGCUAAAUACUCCUGACUGACCGAUAGUGAACCAGUACCGUGAGGGAAAGGCGAAAAGAACCCCGGCGAGGGGAGUGAAAAAGAACCUGAAACCGUGUACGUACAAGCAGUGGGAGCACCUUUAUGGUGUGACUGCGUACCUUUUGUAUAAUGGGUCAGCGACUUAUAUUCUGUAGCAAGGUUAACCGUAUAGGGGAGCCGCAGGGAAACCGAGUCUUAACUGGGCGUUAAGUUGCAGGGUAUAGACCCGAAACCCGGUGAUCUAGCCAUGGGCAGGUU
rnacentral:rRNA from 1 species